rnacentral:tRNA from 1 species
GCCGGAUUAGUUCAGUGGUAGAACACCAUACUUGUAAUAUGGUUGUCGGGGGUUCGAUUCCUCUAUCCGGCU